GGCUCUAUGGUCAAGCGGUUUAAGACGCUACUCCUUCACAGUAGAGUUGCCGGUUCGAUUCCGGCUAGAGUCA
rnacentral:tRNA from 1 species